AAUGUCGUCCUACUCAUUCCGCCGCUAAUGGUCGCGACCGACACCGUAUCUGCUAGGAGGAACCGUGCCACACCGCCCCGAGGAGCUGGAGCCCCUCACCCCGUCGCGGUCGACCGAACGGUUGCACCGCGAGAUGCAAAACCUCGAGGGGCUGAUGAAGGACCUCUCAGCCAUCACGCAGCAGCAGUUCCACUGCUAGCCGCCACCGCGCACGCGGAUCGACUUGGGCGUCCUCGACGUAGAAGUCCACUUUCACAUUACACCUAUGCAUGGGCUCUUCAACCACCACUUCAACGAAUUGACUGGCAAUAAGUAUGUCAUAAACAGAGUUGGAACUUUUAUAACACACUGUAAGGAAAGACAGAGCUAGGUUGCGACCGGGUUAGCUCCAUUACUUUUAGCGUAAACUUAAGAUAUUAUGGACGUGGUCGCAGGCCGAGGUGGUCAUUAGAUUUGCGCAACAUGUGGUCGUUGAAUGCACAGCAAGUUAAACAAAUGAACUCACGACAAAAGUUCAGCAACUGUGUAUGAAUUGAAACUAAACGUAUUUUUAAGUAUUUACCAAUUGUUUAGAUGUGAUGAAUCCCUACAUACUAACAAAAAUGACCAAUUGUGAUCACGUUCCGUCAAGAUCAGAAAGUACUUUGCACAUUUCCCACGCUCAAAUCAAAACAAAAUUUUAUAGUGGAAAUAUUUAGACAAAUAUUCAUUAACAUUGUUUUACAAACACUGUAUACAAUUCAUGGGUUUGUGACUAAAAUAUAAUAAUAUGUAAUGUCUCCUAAUGUCUCUCCUAAUUAGUUUCAAACAUCAAUAUAGGGAAGAUGAAAUAUUAUAAGAUUGACAAAGACCCUUCGCGUGUUGCAUUAUUUUCCAUCAUAAAUAAUUUAUUUUGCUUUGCUGACUCAAAGUUUUAAACUGUUCCUUAAAUAUUCUCCAAAAAACGUUCCAAACAGCCUCAACAUUUUCGUAUCAAUUUUUUUAUGGAUUGUAAAGAUUACAAUUCACGACAGACGUUUAUGCAAUGAAUUGAAUUUAACUUAUGUGUUCGUAUGUCCAUAGGUUUUUGUACCAUUCUAAUUAAAUUCAAAUGUGCCUCGUAACAUCCUAGAUGAUAUUAGGGUUCCAAGUUGGAGCCUAGAUUUUGAGGAGAAGGAUUUUGAAAAGAAAAAGGAUCCUAGAAAACUAUUAGCGUGAUUUUAGAUUUUUAGUUUAAUUUCUAUCUACCCUGUUUUGACCUAUUUACCCCUGUAGUGUUAUAUACUUUCUUAGUGUAUUAUACAUACUUGUGAUUCGUAUACCUUAUACAUAUAGCUGUUAUUGUAUAUAAUUAAGUAUGUAAGUCUUAACUUUAACAUAAACGUACUAAAAUUUACGAAUUUCGAACAAUGGAAGUAAUUUUUGUGUUCAUCAUGUCUUGCCUAGUUUUUAUUUUAAUGUUAAAAGCUUCUUGAUAAGCUAGUCAUAUUGUACUGUGUACUGACAGGUAGCGACGUGGGCAACCAACCAUCUAUACUCCUCUUAACUGCUAAGUUAAAUACUAUAUAUACCCCAUCUCCCGCUUUCACUAUCGCGCCUGUCUCCCACUGAGGUAGGCAGAGACCACACUCCUAGCAAACUCCUUUCGCCUCCUCCACUUGCAUCAGUCUCAACACUCAUGCCUGUUUAUUUUUGAUAGAAUAUCCUCAAUCUGAUUUGAGAAUUAUUUUAACGAAAAAACUUUAACAACCUUACACGCCUGACGUAUGUGAAAAGCUGUAUAUUUUAUGAAGAAAGGCGUUUUGAGACUGUUGUUUUCGACGUCCGCCAUAUUGAUUGCUGACGUUACUUUUCACGUUUACUUCUUCCGCUUCCACGUAAUCGAGUAAGGCCAUUUUAAACAAAAAUUUACAGCACAAUUAUUUCUAAAAACUUCGAAACGAACAACC